GACGAACGCUGGCGGCGUGCUUAACACAUGCAAGUCGAACGGAAAGGCCCUUCGGGGUCCUCGAGUGGCGAACGGGUGAGUAACACGUGGGUGAUCUGCCCUGCACUUUGGGAUAAGCCUGGGAAACUGGGUCUAAUACCGAAUAGGACCACGCGCUUCAUGGUGUGUGGUGGAAAGCUUUUGCGGUGUGGGAUGGGCCCGCGGCCUAUCAGCUUGUUGGUGGGGUAAUGGCCUACCAAGGCGACGACGGGUAGCCGGCCUGAGAGGGUGACCGGCCACACUGGGACUGAGAUACGGCCCAGACUCCUACGGGAGGCAGAAGUGGGGAAGAUUGAACAAUGGGCGCAAGCCUGAUGCAGCGACGCCGCGUGAGGGAUGACGGCCUUCGGGUUGUAAACCUCUUUCAAUAGGGACGAAGCGCAAGUGACGGUACCUAUAGAAGAAGCACCGGCCAACUACGUGC
rnacentral:rRNA from 1 species